rnacentral:rRNA from 1 species
GCUAAGCCCUAAACAUUGAUAAGCCAUUUUACAAUGCUUUCCGCCAGAGAACUACAAGUGAAAAACUUAAAACUCAAAGGACUUGGCGGUGUCCCACACCGAUCUAGAGGAGCCUGUCCUAUAAUCGAUACCCCUCGCUCAACCCAACCUUAGCUAGUCAUAUUCAGCCUAUAUACCGCCGUCGACAGUCUACCCCAUGAGGGUCCAAUAGUAGACACAAUAACCCCUCGCUAACACGUCAGGUCAAGGUGUAGCACAUGCUAAGGAAGAGAUUGGCUACAUUUUUAAAAUUUAAAAAUUACGAAAUGCAUCAUGAAACCCUGCAUAAAGGUGAAUUUAGCAGUAAGCUAGAUAAGAGAGUCUAUUUUAACUUCGCCCUGGGACGCGCACACACCGCCCGUCACCCUCCUCAACAAUAUUAUUUUAUUAAAUAAAACAAAACCUUUUACUUAGAGGAGGU